UAAUCACCGUAAGACCAUUACUCUACAUUCAUUGGCUGAAAUCACAAAAGAUCUUCAUAAGAGGAGGAAACUGAGGCCCAUAGAGAGGUCCGGAGUUACUACAGGGAGGAGGCACAACAGUCGAAACAGCUAGCAUUGGUGGAGUGCUGACUGCCUGCUACCUUGCCCAGGAUGGACACGCAUCAUCUCAAAGCCUUGCAGACAGAAGAACAAUAGAAGGCUGUGUUCCAGACCGUAUCUGGAGGCCGUCGCGAGCACAGAGCCGUGGGAAGAUCAGGAGGCAGCAUCUCUGGGUACAGGGGUGCCACAGGGAAUGAAAUUAGGUCAGGAAAGGGAUAAGGCACCGCAGGGGGUGCUCCACACUCUCCUCUCACCAGUGUGGCCCCUGGACCAGCACCACCAGAAUCCCUUGUUGGGGAUUCACCACUGAGCCCUUGCUGAAAAUGCAGACUCUCAGGUCCCACCCUACUGAAGUCAGACCACCUGGCCCACUGCCAUCGGGAUCCCCGUUUUAACAAGAUCUCCAUGGGAUUUUAAAUUUGAUUUGAUGUUCAGGUUUGUCUAGAACAUUGUUUUUUAAGCUACCUGCACUGAGGGGCCAGUAUAUUUUCCUUAAUUCCCGUUGCAUUGCAGAAUGACGUUUUGGCAAAAUACAGUAAAAAAUGAAUUGUAGAACUAGGAAAUAAAAGAUUAAAAUGCA